rnacentral:tRNA from 1 species
GGGAAGGUGGCUCAGUAGUAGAGUGCUUGCCUUGCAUGCAUGAGGCCCUAGGUUCGAUUCCUCAGUACCA